GGAUGUGCCUGGCAUCAGAGGAGGAAAAGCUUAAUCAGCAGCCCUCAUUUACAUCCUCCUUGUUUAAGAGCCAAAAAAGAUCCCACCCAGGUUUUCUACUGGUUUUCUACUGGGCAGGAGAUUGACUGGCUUUAAACCACAGUGGAGCUUCCAUGGAAAUUAUCCUUGACGACAGUAACUGACUGUGAGUAGUUGCAGACCUGGUCCCAUCUUCAAAGCAACCAUUUCAAAGGCAACAGGAUCCCAAGUUCAUUGCACGCAGUCCCAAUAAUUUUGGUGGUGCCGUGGUCUGCGCCCUGUUUCCUCUAAUGUGACAUUACCCUCUUCAGACUUUACAUUCUUCUCCACGUACCUUUGGCAAAGCAGCUGUAUCUGUAACUGACGGGAAGGUUCGGUUGGAUCUGAAGCUGGAAACAAACAAUCGGUGUUAAGUGAAAGCUUCCCUGCACUUUGAUUUGAAUGUGUAUAACUUUCAAGCCUUUCAAGUGACAACCUACCCAAAAC